UAGGGAAUCUUCCGCAAUGGGCGAAAGCCUGACGGAGCAACGCCGCGUGAGUGAUGAAGGUCUUCGGAUCGUAAAACUCUGUUAUUAGGGAAGAACAAAUGUGUAAGUAACUAUGCACGUCUUGACGGUACCUAAUCAGAAAGCCACGGCUAACUACGUGCCAGCAGCCGCGGUAAUACGUAGGUGGCAAGCGUUAUCCGGAAUUAUUGGGCGUAAAGCGCGCGUAGGCGGUUUUUUAAGUCUGAUGUGAAAGCCCACGGCUCAACCGUGGAGGGUCAUUGGAGACUGGAAAACUUGAGUGCAGAAGAGGAAAGUGGAAUUCCAUGUGUAGCGGUGAAAUGCGCAGAGAUAUGGAGGAACACCAGUGGCGAAGGCGACUUUCUGGUCUGUAACUGACGCUGAUGUGCGAAAGCGUGGGGAUCAAACAGG
rnacentral:rRNA from 1 species